AAAGGCUCUUAUCGAAGCCGUUUAUGCUCUCCUGUAGCAGAAAGUGGUCAAAAGGAGCCGAGAUGAAAACUUUCACCGACGGUCGCUGUUCAGUUUGAAAGUAACUGUUUCAGCAACAUUAAGGGGAAGGACAACA